UCCGCCGGGGAUUCGGACAAGCGCCCCAGAGUGGACCCUGAGCGCGGUCGGAAAGGCGUUAGCGCCCCGGGGCCACGACCCGGCUUGCUGGAAGGAAACUUGGGGACAUCUGUAAGGAGAGGAAUAGGAAGGACCCGAGGAGAAGCAGUAAAGGAGGGCGUUGUGGAUCCUUUGGAGCCAAGGACUGGAACUGACAUGCAAGACCUCUACCAACUGAGGGUUUCAUGAGCACACCCCUUUGCCAAGAUCUCCGUGAAUAGUCCUUCACUGUGCAGUUGUGUCUUAGACAUUGUUUUACUUGUCAUGAUCGUGCUUGGCUGGAUGCUCUUUGUUGGACUUGCAUGUUACAUGGGCGCAUUUCCGGAGUUCACGCCUCCAACUCUGAAGUGGAAAGAGAAGUGGCCUGUUCAGGAGAACAAAACACGACUGAGGAGCCGGACUUUGGAUGAAGACGCACAGCUCUGAGAACCAUGUGGAAGGGAUAUAAGUAUCCCCCAGGAGGGGCCUUGGAUAUUUGUUCUUUUUUGGCCUCUUGUCACCUCCCCCACGGCUACACUCCUCUGGCAACUGGGAUCAGAGGCAUUAAGAGGCAGAAUUGGACAGCAAGGAGGGCAAUUGCCUCAUCCCCACACCCCAGCAAACAUUAGUUCUGAAGGAUCACUGAGUGCUAUCUUGAUCAGCCAACCAUCUUCAUAACAAGAUUUGUUGACAAGUCCUGGAUUUUCUGCAAGAGCUUCAUUAAUUUCAGUUACUUCUCCUGAUAGAGAAUAGAGUUC